AUUGAACGCUGGCGGCAUGCCUUACACAUGCAAGUCGAACGGCAGCACGGGAGCAAUCCUGGUGGCGAGUGGCGAACGGGUGAGUAAUGUAUCGGAACGUGCCCAGUCGUGGGGGAUAACGUAGCGAAAGCUACGCUAAUACCGCAUACGAUCUAUGGAUGAAAGCGGGGGAUCGCAAGACCUCGCGCGAUUGGAGCGGCCGAUAUCAGAUUAGGUAGUCGGUGGGGUAAAGGCUCACCAAGCCGACGAUCUGUAGCUGGUCUGAGAGGACGACCAGCCACACUGGGACUGAGACACGGCCCAGACUCCUACGGGAGGCAGCAGUGGGGAAUUUUGGACAAUGGGCGCAAGCCUGAUCCAGCAAUGCCGCGUGCAGGAUGAAGGCCUUCGGGUUGUAAACUGCUUUUGUACGGAACGAAACGGCGAGCUCUAAUACAGGGGGCUAAUGACGGUACCGUAAGAAUAAGCACCGGCUAACUACGUGCCAGCCGCCGCGGUAA
rnacentral:rRNA from 1 species